AUUGAACGCUGGCGGCAGGCCUAACACAUGCAAGUCGAACGAGUGGCGGACGGGUGAGUAAUGUCUGGGAAACUGCCUGAUGGAGGGGGAUAACUACUGGAAACGGUAGCUAAUACCGCAUACCAUCGGAUGUGCCCAGAUGGGAUUAGCUAGUAGGUGGGGUAAAGGCUCACCUAGGCGACGAUCCCUAGCUGGUCUGAGAGGAUGACCAGCCACACUGGAACUGGGACACGGGCCCGACUCCUAAGGGAGGGAGAAGUGGGGAAUAUUGCAAAAUGGGCGCAAUCCGGAAGCAGCCAUGCCGCGUGUAGGAAGGAGGCCUUCGGGUUGGAAAGUACUUUUAGCGGGGAGGCGGUACCCGCAGAAGAAGCACCGGCUAACUCCGUUCCAGCAGCCGCGGUAAUUC
rnacentral:rRNA from 1 species